rnacentral:lncRNA from 1 species
AUUAACUAUUACUAACUCGUUUAAUUAGCAAAAAGUUUAAAAUAAUAAAAUUUUUAGCGCGAAAAAAGUAAGUAAAAAGUAAAAGUAAGUAAAGCAAAAGCAACAGCCAAUAAUGGACCCACAAUCCUCUUUUACACGCCGCAAACAAUUUCAUCGAUGUAAUUUGGUGGAAUUAAUUUAACGCCUUUUUAAUUUGCUCGCUGCAGUCAUCAAUUUAUUCACUUCCCUCUGAGCAGUUGACACAGGAAGUAUUGUUUUAAAAUUACUUUCAGGUUCCAUGCCAAUUUAGAGGGUAAAGUGGAGAGUCCAAAUGGCACAAUUUAUCUAAAUCAACUAACCUAACUAUAUCUGCCUCAAUUGAAUAUCAAUAAAUAAUACUUUUAAAAUCCAUGUCCUUUCAUUAAAUAUGUGAUAAUCAUCGAUAUUGGACCGUUUUCGACACGCUCUAACCUAAAAACUAAUUAUAACAAACUAAAGUGCAUUUCUCUCCUCAAUAGCGGUAAGUAGUCGGAGGAAAACCACUGCAAACCAAAUUCUUCUAAUGUGUUGGCUUACAUUUACUUCUGAAAGUUAAAUAAAUAAUUCUUUUUCUUCAAAGUAAAUCCGAACAAUCGCACAUAACUAUGUCUCUUUCUAAUAAGUUCCAUACUCACUGUACUCAGAAACUCUGUCAAAAUUAUUAAAGCACGAACAGAUGGCAACAAUGGCUGAACUCUUCGAUAUUCCUCAACAAAUAUAACCAAAAUCUCAUCGAAAUUCGAAUAUCACCAACCAUUUGAACCUUAGCUCAAGCAAAAACAGUUAAGUUGCAACAACAAACACACGCAAUUAAUAUUACAAUCUAAGGAACACUUCUUCAGUGAUCCACGUGAAUUUUGCGAAAUGCCAAAGGCGUUCACUGCUAUAAAGUUGGCGUUGCAGUGGCACCAGCAUUUGGUUGUUUAGCGACUGCUAAGGCUUGCUCUGAGUAAGUGACGAUGCGUAUUUGCAAAUAGCCAUUUUGGUAUCUACGAUGUUGCAUAUUUGCCGAUAUUACACUUCACAAAUUCUACAUUUAUUAUGCACUAAAAGAGUUCACAAUUAAACGCGGCGGUUCUGCGGCGGCAGGCUGAUUGAUAAAUGUUGGCGUUUGGUGGUAUCGGCAAAUUAUGGCGAAUAAAUACACAAGCCAAUCGCUAUUUAACGCUUGAAAUAUUGGAGAGGAGCACUGAAAUAAUUUGUUCGUGGUUGCAAGUAUUAGUUGCAAGUUCGUGAAUUUGCGAAUGCAAUUUUGAUAAGCUCUCCUUGAGUUGGAAAUAUGCCUUGGCACCGCCACGAAAGGAGCUGACGUAAAAUGGCAUACGUGAAACCCCCACGGACUAUUAAGUUGGCAUAAAUGUUUGAUUUUGGCUGUUCCUUGCAACCACGUAACAAAUGUGGUUGAAGCCGAAGUUGCUCAAGUUGAUUGCGAUUUGUUGCGGUUGCCUCUCGCACAGCUUCUAGUUCAUCUUAAUUUAUAUUUUGGCAUCAGCAUUCUUUCCAGCGCAAAUGAUUUCAAUGUAAUAUUUCACGAAGAAACUUUUCGUGGGGAAAAAAGGAAGCGAAAUGUAGGCGGCCCUGACUCACUAGGGCGUCGAUGUGCUAUAAAGUAGUAAAUUUUAAUAUUUAUAUCUUUCCUGUUGAAAAAUUUCAUUUAUCGAAAAUACAUAUGUACAAGUGUAAUUGUUUGGCUCGACCAAACAUUUUGGCUCCCUCCUGCUGAUGAAUGUUAUGUGAGCUUUAGUGACUUGCAAAUACCCCAAAAUUCCCUAAACAUUUGCUUUUACGUGUAACAAAAUUAGAUGCCUAGCUCCAUUUGUUGGUACCGAUGGGUAUUAAUGAAAACCCACCCAGUGAAACCGUUCAGUUCCCGAACAACAACAGAGACAGCGAAUUAUCCAACACUAGAUGAACCACACGAGUUCGUUAUAGUUCUUGGGGUUAAACUAUAAAUAAGCAUUAAUAUUUUGCAAAAGUAAUAUUUUAACCUCAAAUUAUUGCACAAAAAUAUUUUUCUGGCAUCGGUUUUAUCGACUUAUUCGGGUUUCAUACUUUUCGCACCUACUCGUCAAGAGAGCGACGCCAGGUGGACGAGCUUAAUUGAAUUACUCAACUUUGGACAUACACUAUUUUUUACCCUGAUAUCCUCUUUAUUAUUUUCCAGUUGUAUUCUACAGCUUCUCUUAAUAUAUGAAAGCUGAAUAUUGUUGAAUAUUUCAUUUGCAUUUCACUGACUUUUUAAUAAGGCUUUUAAGCGCCGGAGAUCAAAUAACACCAUUGCGCGGAUAACCUUGUUACCAUACUGAAUUAAGAAUAACAACAAAUGUGUGUGCUGCCAUGACACCUUUCAGAGAGUAUUUCCCAAUUGGCUAAAUCCAUGAUUUCACCGCUUUUCCAUUUCAAACAAAUUCUCUCGCACUUUUUUCGGCACUGUGUGGGGGAAGCAGAGGCACCCGUCGUUUGGAAUUCAGUAAAAAAUUAGCACAUUUUUACGGUUAUGUUAUUACACACAUACACACAUGUAUGAGCACUUUUUAAGUAGUCGUAUAUCCGCCAUAGCAAUUUAUAUGCUCUCUUGGGAAAGCUGAUAGGCAAGGUUGUAGUGAACGUUAUUUACCGCUAUGACCUCAUGUGGCUAACAAUUGGUCGUAUCUUAAAUUACUUUUUGUUGUAAAUGAAAAUGUAAGUGAGAAACUGUAUUUAAUAUAAUUUACGAAGAAAUAUGAGAAAAUAUAAUAACCCUUAGAACAGCAGAGGCAGCGGCCCACACUGUUGACAGCAACAAAAUUGUGUUAAAAAGCUUACAUUGGAAGCCUCUUAAACAUUUUUAGCCAACCGAAGUCUCAUUUAAUAUAUAAAAGAUAUAGGAACUAACUAUAUAACGAUAAGUACAUAUCUAUAUCAAAUACAUGCAUCUGAAAGAUUUUUAAGUGUUCAAAAUUAAGUUUUUACAUUCGAAACGCUGCAUUACUUUCGCAGUAAACUGUUGUAUGCGCCUCUACAUCUUUUCUAAUUAAAAUCAAUUAUGUAAUAUAUAUUACUGCAUCCACCUCCACCUUUCGAAAUUUCAAGGCAAUCAGCAAACAAAUAAAUCUAAAAUAAACGCCAAAAACUUUCAGAAGAUUUUCAGCUUCUCCUCUCAAUCUAGCACAAGCAGCACUAUUCACUUGAAAGUUUAAAAUUCGUUUGUAGACAUCUAGUUUUGUUCGGACGGAAGCAAUGCACCUUUUCAUGGGGUUAAUAUAAACUUCAAGAUGCAAUCAGGCGUCAUCAAUUCAGCGAGAAGCAAUUACUUUACAAAGCAAAACGGAUUAUUAAUUUCGCCGACUCAGCCAGCCACUCAGCCAGCCGCAGACAAAGCCGCAGACAAAGAUGCAAAGAAAGCGAAAUUUAGAGAUGUAAGCUCAGCGAAUCCGCUUCUGUUGCACAAGCAGAUUAGCUGCCAAGGAGCCUGUGGACCGACGGCAGCGAAACUACUAUUUAGUUCGUUAAAUCAGCAUAUUGUCCAAAAGCAAUAUAAUAAUUUUUCAAUACUAAAGUUAAAUCUAGUCGCUAAGUUGUUUGUAAAUCUGUUGUGUAAUGAUAUUGGUUCACCACUGGCCGUGACUAAAUUUCGAAUUUAUUUUUUUCACUAUAAAAGAAAUCCAACAUUGUGCCAAUAUUGCUUAGUUGCAUUUGAUUGAGGCACAAUUUUCUCAGGUCAGCCGCAUUAUUUUCAUGAAAUUGCAAAAUACAACAACAAUACAUGUGUCAAGGUUACUCGCGUUUGCUGCAGAAGAAAGCUUUUUCAACGUAGGUUCGCCCAGAAAUGUCAAUUGUACAGUGAACGCCAUAUAAUCGCAACCAACCGAGAAGAGAGCACCAUUCUUCGAACAUAGCCGGACUUUAGUUUUCAAAGACUUCAUUUUUUGUCAUCAUAUUUGCAGAAGAAGACAUUUGACAAUUUAUUUUGAUAUUCACUAUGAAGAAUUACCGACAUUUUUGACACUAACUUAAAUAAUACUCUUGUCGAAGAUACCGGACUCAUAGUUGAUUAUUUCAAUUAUUAAGGGAGCAGAGAUUUAUUUUUAUAUUUGAUUUGGCCACUGCUGACUUUGACUUUAACCGGUGUUGAUCUUUACGUACUUAUGUUUUUACGAAGCUUCUAAUUUUAUCUGAUGAAGAAAAGUCUUCAGGAAAAUUGUCAGAAGUUUUGUGAUUUGAACCGACGACCCUGUGGCCACCAGUCGCAGGGUAAAACGUUACCUCUAAAGAAUGCAUCCCUCUCCAUAAGCAUUCAUAUUUGCAUUUAUUUAAAGAAGAAUUGCGAAAGUUCUAUUUUAUUUGCAAUUCGAGGGAGUCUCAACUGGUCCCAACCCAAUUUCAAAUCUAUCCAGCCUUGCAAAAUUUAAACUGUAAACAACGCACAACUAAAAUACAACUGAAAAUAACGGUAAUAAUGGCAAUGGUAUAAAAUAAAUACAAGCGAAAAUUCUAAACCUCGUCGAAACUGCAAAAGCUUGCACGCAACACAGGUAGUUGUGGUUGUUGUUGUUGCUGCGCAGAUGUUAAAACUUUCACUUUGACACACAACAGCGCAGUGAAAUGCCUUCUUGCCCCUUAUUCGUUCUCACUCUGCUACAAAUUUCAUCAGUCCGCACUUUGUCCGGUUGCCCUGCGGCCAAAAGCGACCUUGCGAGCGAACUAACUCGGCUAUUCACAAAGUGACGAGCAAGCAACUGUCAGCCGAGAAGCAAGAAACAUCAGCCAACAGAAUUCCAGUGCAAAUACAAAAUGCGACUAAGUGACAACUGACCGAGUUUGGAAGUCGCGUUUGUUAAGGGUAACAAGUUAAUUCGUGUUUUCAGAAAACUUCCUUCUUAGUGAAAUCGCCACAUUUCUAUUUGUCCUUUGUUUAAAAACAGCAAAAGAACUAUUCAACAAACCACAGCCAUCGUAGCUGAAAUGUAAAACAGCAAGAACGUUGACUCUCGUUAAACCAACGGUAUAAUACCUUUCACAAAAACAAAAUAUUCCGUCCAAGUACUAUGAUCAGCCGAUUUAUAUGGUAGCUACAUGCUACAGAGACUCGAUUCAUUUAGGGUGUGCGAAUUAUUUACUCGAAAUUAGUUGGAAGCUCUGUUGUCGCGCUUUAUGUGACUUCAAAAUCCCACAAAGUGAUGAUAGUGCCGCAGAGAGCUCUCAGAAGGGAGAAAAGCGUAGUUGCCAAAAAAUUAUGAUAAAUGUAACAUAAAUCCAGUUUAAGAACCUCAAGCAAAAUAUGUAUGCUUCAACUACAGGGAGAAGCAAAGAGAAGACACAUAGCGAAGAAAGAAGAAUGAAGGCAUUGAAAGGCUAUAAAGCCCUGCUGGCAGAUGAGAGCGCCAUAAAAUGCCAUCACUUCCGAUCAAUGUCAACGGUACAGAACGUUGACGGUGCAGAGCAUAACAAACGCUGGUGGUACGGCCAAGUGGUAAAACGUAAAAUGUUUCGAAAUUUAGGUGGCAGUAGACGUGCUUUGAAAAUAGUAUGUAAACCCUGCAACACAAAGACACACAUACACACACUAACGCUGCGUGAACACAGUACCCUUGACCCAAAGGAACAACAGCAACAAGUAAAAAAAGAAUUCAUUGCGAAUAUUUAAAUGUCCCUUACCCAAGUAUGCAGGCUGUUCUCUUUGUGCUCGGAAUGGGAGCAAGAGCGUAAGAGGAAAUGAAAGCGCACAGUUUCGCUGGUGAAGCCUCAAAGGAGUCGAUGAAUACUGCAUAUGACGAUAGCAACUGAAGCGCAUAAAUAAUAACUUCAAAACUUACUAUUUAAUAGAUAGCUUCUUAAAACCAAUAUUCUAUAUUUAGUUAUCCUACAUCUGAAUUUAUAGCGAAAACGUUUUUCUUCAAACGCUAACAAAUUUCACAUUUGUGUGGUUUAUACAAAAGUAGCAUCACAUAUUGAAGGUGAACCAUUGCAAAAGCUGUAAUAUUUGCUAUGUAUUCACGUUUUUUGGAAAUCCCUUUAUUCCUUUACCACAGAUCAUUAUUUAUUUGAAAAAAAAAAAAAAAAAAAAAUAACGAUAGAAGUAUUCUAGUCUCGUCAUCAAAUAAUCAUUGCAACGUUUUCUGAGGCCAAGUAAGAAACAAAAUAAUAUAAACAAAAUCACAUUGGAAAACUGGUAAACCACGAAGUAGUGAAACUCACCACACAUAAUCGUACGUGUAAAGCUAUGGAAAAAAGGACAGAAAAACACACAAACACACAUUUCCAUUUUUCUCUUGUUUCUACCUGAAAAUACAACAAAUAAAAACACAGAAACUACAGCAAUGUAUGGGGGCAACUCAGCCUCACGCAACUCAUGCUAAGUGAUAAGAGACGCAACAACAGGUGCCAAGUGCACUAGCUUUACCAGACUUUGGCAACAUGUUGCACGUGUCAUAAUGCCACCACCACCACACCAAAAUGAAAAAAAAACAAAAAAAAUGUAUGUUUCUAUUAUAAAAUUCAGCAUUACUUUUCUUUUCUUUUUGUGAAAUUAUGCAAAUAGCACGGAGAUAGUACUUAAGGUACAUAAUAUAUUUUACCCAUAACCAAAAUUAUUUUAACCAAACGAUCCUGCAGUCGUCUUAGUUCAAAUACAUGAAAAUAUCCUAAACUCUCUUAUAGCAAAGAAUAAAUUAAAAUUAAAUUUGAAGGAAAAUAGAUUUUUGAUAACCCAAAAAAUAUCUCAAAUUAUACCUCAUAUAAACGUAACAAAAACAAUGACAUUAAAUAUUUCUUAAGCGACCAACCUUUGAACGUAUACGGAAGCUAAUCGCAGGCGUAAAUUUAUGCUCGCUCUUUAUUAUUGCAAAGUAAAUUGCUGUUAAUGGCAAUGAAGUGAUAAACGCUAACAAUCAUGUUGGGUCACACACACAUACAAUUAUAUAGGUAUAUUUACAAAAAUACAUAUGUCUGUCCCUUCAAAUGUUGCUUAUAUGCCCUAAUCCACCACCGAUAUAAAAAAUUAACAUAACAUUUUGAAGUGACAACUAAUAUGGCUGUUUAAAAUAAAACAUCUAAGCUUAGAUUGGCCUAUUGUGGUCAAAAUACUAUUAGUACAGGUUUUCAUAACUAACUAAAUGAAACCUUGUAGUCUAAUUCGCUUCGAAAUCAUUUACCUUUUCUCACUUUUAAAAUCACGCAGGCAGACGAAAAGCAAUCGAUUGUAGGUCAGGGUAACUCCUUAACUUAGCUAUGUCAUCCCAUUACAUACCUAAUGUCGACGUCUUGACCUCAAACGCUCAGGCACUUUGGAUGCUAAUGUGUCUGAGAUAAAGGAUAGCAACUAUACCAUAAUGGCAGUAACCUGAAUUACAUCUCAUAGCACAAAAGCAAUAAAUACUAUUUGGGUUUCGACAUCUGGCCACUGUCGCGGAUAGACAAGCUAAUAUGUGAUGCGUUAAGAUGAGAACUGUAAGGUCGGAGUCCACAUCUUUGAAAAUCUACACCAGUAUUUGAUAUUGACGAAUAAUGUGCUACAUUUUAGCGUAGCCUGGGUUGAACGGAAAUGGGAAUAGUUUUAUUAAUUGUACUUUUAAUAAAUAUCUCAAGUUUCAAUAAUAAUAUAAGCACAAUACGUAA